rfam:Sporothrix schenckii ATCC 58251 unplaced genomic scaffold supercont1.2, whole genome shotgun sequence.
GGCAACAUGCCAGAGUGGUUAAUGGGUAAGACUCGAAUUUCCUUGUUCGAUAUAUCUUAUGGCUUCGGCCGCGUAGGUUCAAGUCCUGCUGUUGUCG